AACAAUGGCGUUCACCCUCUUAAUGACAUAACAACCACUGCGGCCACAUUUGAGAACUUUGCCCGUGUGGUGUGCCCCCUCCCGCGGUCCCGUGUGAGGAGGAGUGCUGCAGCCGGACACAGGACAACAGCCGAGGCGACACUCGUCUCCAUCAGUAACGACGGUGUGCGCUUCAGUCCCCCGGUCCUGCUCAUCACGUAUGACGCCGUCUGUCAAGACUGUAACGUCACCGGGUUCUGUGUUCUCAGGAACGACUCCUGUGAGAUAGACGGUGCUUGCUACGCCAGUGGGGAAACACAAAUUGGCAAUCCUUGUAAACAGUGUGACCCGUCAGUUAACGUGUCAACAUGGAGCGAUCGUGGCUGCUCGUGCCAGCCGUGCUUCCCGGAAGUGACGUGUACAGACGUACCAGGUGGACACGAGUGUGGGGACUGCCCGCAUGGCCUGACGGGAGACGGGAAGAACUGCACU